AUGAUGCAUGGUCCGUGUGGUGAAAUGAACGAUAAAUGUGUCUGCAUGAAAAAGGGUGUUUGUUCUAAAUAUUUCCCAAAAGAUUUUAGAGAUACCACUGUCAUUGAUGAUAAUGGGUUUGCCUUAUAUCGACGUCGUGACGACAGUCGAAGGGUCUAUAAAAAUGGUCAUUACCUUGACAAUAGGCAUGUUGUUCCUUAUAAUAUGGCAAUGCUCAAGAAAUUUCAGGGACAUAUAAAUGUAGAGUGGUGUAAUAAGACACAGGUGAUGAAAUAUCUCUUUAAGUAUGUGACCAAAGGUGCUGACUACUCUAAGGUCAUGUUAGAAAGGCUAAAAAAUUGA
rnacentral:rRNA from 1 species